GCCGGUGUGGCGGAAUGGUAGACGCAGCGGACUCAAAAUCCGCCGCCCUUAAAAGCGUGUGGGUUCGAGUCCCUCCACCGGCACCA
rnacentral:tRNA from 1 species